rnacentral:lncRNA from 1 species
GAGGACUGCGCACCGAUUACGCCCCGUGAACUACUCACCUGUUGGGUAGCAGCCUGUUCCCCCAGGCAGGCAGCGGCAAAUCCAGGGCAAACAGACAGAAGGCGAGGAGGUGGACCUUCAUCGCGCGCCUUGGUUCGCCCUUCCCGCGAGGGAGGGAGCCGGGAACGAAUGUGUGUAUGGGGGGGGGGUCUUCUUGGCAGCUAGGGAGGGGGCCACGCCGUCACUGCCCCCGCCGGCCGCUCUCCUGGACGGCAAAGGGCUCCGUCAUCAUCCUUGCUCUCUCCUCGCACCCGGGCAGCGCGCUUUGUGCGUCCUGGCGCGCGCGCGCGCCUCUCUCUCGCUUCUUUCCCAACAGGAAGGCAAGGAAACGCGGGGGGCGGCGGGGGCGACUCCCGCAUCUCCCCCCGCCCCGUCCAGUCCAGUUCAAGAGGGGGCAGAGGUCAAAGCUCCGGAGAGGACCCUCUUCGCCUGGCUCAGGAGAUGCUCAGGUUGCGCGCCGCAGCUCGGAUGCCGGAGGGGCCCGGGACAGGGCAGGGCAGGGCAGGAGGGCAAGGCAGCCGUCCAGCCGUCCGCCCGUCCUUCCUCUUCGCUGCCCCUGCGAAGGCAGCCGAGCCGCCGCCGCCGUUCCUCAGCUCCAGCCCGCCCGGCACUCGGGAAGCGGCGAGGAGAAGCAGCGGGCGCCCACCUCACCUUGCGCAACUCCCCCAGGGCGAGGCGAGGCGCAGGCUCUGCCCGUCCGGGGUGGGGUGGGGGGCUCCUGGGCGACCCCCGCCGCACAGCCCCCGCUCGACUCUUCCUCCUGCCUCCUUCCAAGGAGCUUCUGGCGUCCCGGCAAGGAAGGACAAAAGUUCUCUCUCUCCCCUACCCCGUCCCUCCUCCCCCGCCUUUCUUCCUCUCAGGUUGAGACUGAGCUGGACGGGGGGCGGGGGGGUGGGGGGGGAGCCAGCUGGGAAAAGACCCCGGAAUGAUUGGAUCCAGGUGAUCGCAACUUUUACGACUUUUGUUGCUGCCGCCGCUGCUGCUGCGAGGAUUCACAUACCAAGGUGAAGGGAGGGGGCGCCUCUGUCCUGCCCUCCCCCACGGGCCGCUCCGAAGAGAAAGCUGAACAAAAGCAGCCAGCCGGC